rnacentral:rRNA from 1 species
UGUGUGUUAGUGGAAGCGUCUGGAAAGGCGCGCGAUACAGGGUGACAGCCCCGUACACAAAAAUGCACAUGCUGUGAGCUCGAUGAGUAGGGCGGGACACGUGGUAUCCUGUCUGAAUAUGGGGGGACCAUCCUCCAAGGCUAAAUACUCCUGACUGACCGAUAGUGAACCAGUACCGUGAGGGAAAGGCGAAAAGAACCCCGGCGAGGGGAGUGAAAAAGAACCUGAAACCGUGUACGUACAAGCAGUGGGAGCACGCUUAGGCGUGUGACUGCGUACCUUUUGUAUAAUGGGUCAGCGACUUAUAUUCUGUAGCAAGGUUAACCGAAUAGGGGAGCCGAAGGGAAACCGAGUCUUAACUGGGCGUUAAGUUGCAGGGUAUAGACCCGAAACCCGGUGAUCUAGCCAUGGGCAGGUUGAAGGUUGGGUAACACUAACUGGAGGACCGAACCGACUAAUGUUGAAAAAUUAGCGGAUGACUUGUGGCUGGGGGUGAAAGGCCAAUCAAACCGGGAGAUAGCUGGUUCUCCCCGAAAGCUAUUUAGGUAGCGCCUCGUGAAUUCAUCUCCGGGGGUAGAGCACUGUUUCGGCAAGGGGGUCAUCCCGACUUACCAACCCGAUGCAAACUGCGAAUACCGGAGAAUGUUAUCACGGGAGACACACGGCGGGUGCUAACGUCCGUCGUGAAGAGGGAAACAACCCAGACCGCCAGCUAAGGUCCCAAAGUCAUGGUUAAGUGGGAAACGAUGUGGGAAGGCCCAGACAGCCAGGAUGUUGGCUUAGAAGCAGCCAUCAUUUAAAGAAAGCGUAAUAGCUCACUGGUCGAGUCGGCCUGCGCGGAAGAUGUAACGGGGCUAAACCAUGCACCGAAGCUGCGGCAGCGACACUAUGUGUUGUUGGGUAGGGGAGCGUUCUGUAAGCCUGUGAAGGUGUGCU